UACGUAGGGGGCAAGCGUUGUCCGGAAUCAUUGGGCGUAAAGCGCGCGUAGGCGGCCCGAUAAGUCCGCUGUAAAAGUCAACGGCUCAACUGUUGAAAGCCGGUGGAUACUGCUGGGCUAGAGUCCGGAAGAGGCGAGUGGAAUUCCUGGUGUAGCGGUGAAAUGCGCAGAUAUCGGGAGGAACACCUAUGGCGAAGGCAGCUCGCUGGGACGUUACUGACGCUGAGACGCGAAAGCGUGGGGAGCAAACAGG
rnacentral:rRNA from 1 species